UUAACCCUACGGGAGGCAGCAGUGAGGAAUAUUGGUCAAUGGUCGGGAGACUGAACCAGCCAAGCCGCGUGAGGGAUGAAGGUACAGAGUAUCGCAAACCUCUUUUGUCAGGGAACAAAGGCGGGGACGUGUCCCCGGAUGAGUGUACCUGAAGAAAAAGCAUCGGCUAACUCCGUGCCAGCAGCCGCGGUAAUACGGAGGAUGCGAGCGUUAUCCGGAUUUAUUGGGUUUAAAGGGUGCGCAAGCGGUCUGUUAAGUCAGCGGUCAAAGCCCGGGGCUCAACCCCGGCCCGGCCUUGCAACUGG
rnacentral:rRNA from 1 species